GAUGAACGCUGGCGGCGUGCCUAAUACAUGCAAGUCGAACGCACAGCGAAAGGUGCUUGCACCUUUCAAGUGAGUGGCGAACGGGUGAGUAACACGUGGAUAACCUACCUCAAGGUUGGGGAUAACAUUUGGAAACAGAUGCUAAUACCGAAUAAAACUUAGUAUCGCAUGAUACCAGGUUAAAAGGCGCUACGGCGUCACCUAGAGAUGGAUCCGCGGUGCAUUAGUUAGUUGGUGGGUAAAGGCUUACCAAGACAAUGAUGCAUAGCCGAGUUGAGAGACUGAUCGGCCACAUUGGGACUGAGACACGGCCCAAACUCCUACGGGAGGCUGCAGUAGGGAAUCUUCCACAAUGGGCGAAAGCCUGAUGGAGCAACGCCGCGUGUGUGAUG
rnacentral:rRNA from 1 species